rnacentral:lncRNA from 1 species
UCUCAAAUCCUGAUAAAUUUUAUUUUGUUCUUUGCCUCCAUAUUCGUAAAUUCUCCAACACAGUCAUCAUGUCCAAAUACCAGGCCGAGAUUUCUAGGAAAUGGGUACCCGUGGUACCUUGUGUGUAGUUACAUUAAGAGCCUGUCAUCAAUUGACAACCCCAUUUCUCUUGCUUUACGCAUUGCCAUCUCUCUUUCAAUCAUCAGCUUUCUUCUCACCUCUUCUUUAGGCAGUCACCAGCGCUCAAUUUCUAUGGCAAUUAUUUCAUGCCUAAGCAUCUCCUUCACAAUGUCACGCUGGAAUGUGUAAAAGAGUCUUGGAUUGUUCAAAAAAUCGAGGUCCAUUGAGUAGUUACAUGGAAAGAGAUUGUUUAUGUUAAUUAAAGAUGGCAAACUACGUUUUUU